CGGCACGUGUCCAACGCCAAGGCUGCGCUGGCUGCUGGCCGGAGAUUGUAAGAUUAUGAGAUCUGAGAACG
rnacentral:snoRNA from 2 species